GAUGAAGAACGUAGCGAAAUGCGAUACUUGGUGUGAAUUGCAGAAUCCCGUGAACCAUCGAGUCUUUGAACGCAAGUUGCGCCUCAAGCCAUUAGGUUGAGGGCACGUCUGCCUGGGCGUCACAUAUCGUUGCCUGAUGCCAGUUUCCUCGUGAUGGGUGACUGUGCAGGGCGAAUGAUGGCUUCCCGUGAGCAUUGUUGCCUCAUGGUUGGUUGAAAAUUGAGUCCUUGGUAGGGAGCGCCGUGAUAGAUGGUGGUUGAGUGACGAACGAGACCCAAUCAUGUGAGACCCCUACCGAAUUUGGGCUUCAUGACCCACAUGCGUCUUUGGAACGCUCAUGACGAGACCUCAGGUCAGGCGGGGCUACCCGCUGAGUUUAAGCAUAUCAAUAAGCGGAGGA
rnacentral:misc_RNA from 1 species